GUGGGGAAUUUUGGACAAUGGGCGCAAGCCUGAUCCAGCAAUGCCGCGUGCAGGAAGAAGGCCUUCGGGUUGUAAACUGCUUUUGUACGGAACGAAAAGGCUCUGGUUAAUACCUGGGGCUCAUGACGGUACCGUAAGAAUAAGCACCGGCUAACUACGUGCCAGCAGCCGCGGUAAUACGUAGGGUGCAAGCGUUAAUCGGAAUUACUGGGCGUAAAGCGUGCGCAGGCGGUUUUGUAAGACAGACGUGAAAUCCCCGGGCGCAACCUGGGAAUGGCGUUUGUGACUGCAAAGCUGGAGUGCGGCAGAGGGGGAUGGAAUUCCGCGUGUAGCAGUGAAAUGCGUAGAUAUGCGGAGGAACACCGAUGGCGAAGGCAAUCCCCUGGGCCUGCACUGACGCUCAUGCACGAAAGCGUGGGGAGCAAACAGGAUUAGAAACCCCAGUAGUCC
rnacentral:rRNA from 1 species